UACGGGGGGGGGCAAGCGUUGUUCGGAAUUACUGGGCGUAAAGGGCUCGUAGGUGGCCAACUAAGUCAGACGUGAAAUCCCCUCAGCUUAACUGGGGAACUGCGUCUGAUACUGGAUGGCUUGAGUUUGGGAGAGGGAUGCGGAAUUCCAGGUGUAGCGGUGAAAUGCGUAGAUAUCUGGAGGAACACCGGUGGCGAAGGCGGCAUCCUGGACCAACACUGACACUGAUGAGCGAAAGCCAGGGGAGCAAACGGG
rnacentral:rRNA from 1 species